GUGAUGAAGGUUUUCGGAUCGUAAAGCUCUGUUGUUAGGGAAGAACAAGUGCAAGAGUAACUGCUUGCACCAUGACGGUACCUAACCAGAAAGCCACGGCUAACUACGUGCCAGCAGCCGCGGUAAUACGUAGGUGGCAAGCGUUGUCCGGAAUUAUUGGGCGUAAAGGGCUCGCAGGCGGUUUCUUAAGUCUGAUGUGAAAGCCCCCGGCUCAACCGGGGAGGGUCAUUGGAAACUGGGAAACUUGAGUGCAGAAGAGGAGAGUGGAAUUCCACGUGUAGCGGUGAAAUGCGUAGAGAUGUGGAGGAACACCAGUGGCGAAGGCGACUCUCUGGUCUGUAACUGACGCUGAGGAGCGAAAGCGUGGGGAGCGAACAGGAUUAGAUACCCUGGUAGUCCACGCCGUAAACGAUGAGUGCUAAGUGUUAGGGGGUUUCCGCCCCUUAGUGCUGCAGCUAACGCAUUAAGCACUCCGCCUGGGGAGUACGGUCGCAAGACUGAAACUCAAAGGAAUUGACGGGGGCCCGCACAAGCGGUGGAGCAUGUGGUUUAAUUCGAAGCAACGCGAAGAACCUUACCAGGUCUUGACAUCCUCUGACAACCCUAGAGAUAGGGCUUUCCCUUCGGGGACAGAGUGACAGGUGGUGCAUGGUUGUCGUCAGCUCGUGUCGUGAGAUGUUGGGUUAAGU
rnacentral:rRNA from 2 species